rnacentral:misc_RNA from 1 species
UCUCCGUUGGUGAACCAGCGGAGGGAUCAUUACCGAGGUUACAACUCCCAAACCUAAUGUGAACGUUACCUAACUGUUGCCUCGGCGGGGUCACGCCCCGGGUGCGUCGCAGCCCCGGAACCAGGCGCCCGCCGGAGGAACCAACCAAACUCUUUCUGUAGUCCCCUCGCGGACGUUAUUUCUUACAGCUCUGAGCAAAAAUUCAAAAUGAAUCAAAACUUUCAACAACGGAUCUCUUGGUUCUG